rnacentral:rRNA from 1 species
UACGGAGGAUGCGAGCGUUAUCCGGAUUUAUUGGGUUUAAAGGGUGCGUAGGCGGAUCGUUAAGUCAGUGGUCAAAUUGAGGGGCUCAACCCCUUCCCGCCAUUGAAACUGGCAGUCUCGAGUUGGAGAGAAGUAUGCGGAAUGCGCGGUGUAGCGGUGAAAUGCAUAGAUAUCACGCAGAACUCCGAUUGCGAAGGCAGCAUACCGGCGCUCAACUGACGCUCAUGCACGAAAGCGUGGGUAUCGAACAGG